AACAAUAUCAUUUACUAUGAUUCAGCCGAAUAUCUUUCUCGCCGUUUGGAUGUUUACGAGAGAAAUAUAAAUAUUCUUCUCAAUCUCACAAGGCUUCAUAGUGAAUCGUAUCAUCUAGAACAACAACUUUUGUCAGAUAUGUGCACCUUUAAAGUGAUUGUUCGUGGAGGAGGACCACGGUAGUGUUCAGGCAAGUGUGGGAGUAACCAUCUCUGGUGUGGGAAGACCAAGACUGGCAUUAAUAGAAGCAUUAAUAGAAGAUGUCUCUGUCAACUCCUUUAAGAAUGUCAUAAAACGUAUGUCCUAAUCCAUUGGUCCUAAUCUAUAGUGUAAUUAAUUGCAUCCAUGUAAAUAGUUUAUGUAAGUAGCCUGUUUUUCUCGCUUUUAGAUUUCCUUUUUUUUUCUCUCUCCAAUUAUGUAAAUAUUUUAAUGAACUCACGGCCCUUUGAAAAACAGAUGUACUGCUGAAAGGCUACCGUGAUUAAAUAAGAUUAAAUAAUAACGUCUGACAACAGGCUAUCGAAACUCUCAAUUCUCAAGUUGGACUUUCCUGGGCAGAAAUUGCAAGGAAAGACCCAGGAUUAGCUAUACACACCCAUGAUUAGCUAUAGAUUAGUACAUCUCAAACUCAUUAAUAAUUCAUGAGCAAAUUAGCGAAUGAACUCACCCUAAUUCGUCACAUGAUUGAGGUUGGAUACCGCAAGGAAACACGCUAAAAAUCAUAUACCAUCACUGUUGUUAGAUGAAAAACGGUUUUCAUCUAAUAACUGAGAUCCUAAUUACAAAUUCAAGUCAAAACACAACAAUAUACUAUAAUAAUAUAUAUAUAUAAGCCAAUGAAAUGUUUUCGUUUGAGAUGUUGUGUAAACAACUCGUUUCUCGUGUUUCAUCAGGGGACCAAACACUCGAAAACAAUAAAACACUCGCGCUUCGCGCUCGUGUUUCAUACAGUUUUCUCGUGUUUGGAUCCCCUGAUGAAACACUCAAACUCGUUGUUUACAUAUAACAAGAAUAUUUAUAUUUCUCUCGUAAACAUCCAGACGGCGAGAAAGAUAUUGGGCUGAAUCAUAGUAAAUGUUGUUGUUAAAAGAUGAGCUCAGCAAUUUUUGUAAAGAGAGAAAGAAUUCUUCAAUUUCGAAAUCUUUAGGCUGGCUUCUUGGUUCACUUCCGUGUCCUCAAUGUCCUCUGUGUUUUAAGUUGCUUACUUCCGUUUUCUACCGAGUUAUAUUUUUGACUGGGCUUUGACUUAUUAUUUUCAAAUUGGUGUUUCGUAUUAUAAAUAGAAGUUAGGACGUUUUCAUGUAUAUCCUUUGAGGUUUGAAAUGUAUUUUGCAUUUUUCAAGUAUAUGCUAUCAACUUUCGUUUUAUUUAUUUUUUUUUUGAGUUCGAAUUUUAUCUUGAUAUUUUCAACAUUAUAUUGAGAGUUAUAACAUGUUGAUAGGAUGAUUGAAUAUUACUUAUUGACUUAAAAUAAUUUUGACCGGAACGGAACGCUAUACUUUGUUUGUCAUCCUGUACUAGAGUCUGUUCACUCCGUUAUAUAUGCAUACGAAUUCUUGUUCUCGUUUUGAUUGGGGCGUGAGGGAAAUUCUCAUGCAAACUCACGCUUACGAACACGAACUAUGGUCCAGUCUCAUGCUCGAUUGAUCUGGCCUCUCACUGCAGGACACCAUAGUUGAUGAUAUAAUGUUUGCUGCUGGCUAAACCUAUCACAUAAUCCUCAUCAGUUGACACGAGAAGGAAAGUCCAGGGCAGGAACAUGGUAUCUCAAGGACUGUCACUGGAUGUGGAUGACGAUGAUGUACUCAUUUGUUCCAGUUCAUCACGUGUAUUCCCCAUCAAUCCAUUAGAAAUAUCAAUAUGUAUAUCAGGGUCCAGAAAACCUG
rnacentral:lncRNA from 1 species